GGGGUAAACCUGCGAAACUCGAAUGAACGAACGGAGAGAUUCAUCGUCAUUCCGCGGCGUAUCGGCGCCAGUCAGAUGUGGGUCGGUCUCGAUCGGCUCGCACUGCUGGCGUAGGUCACGUCCGUGGACGGCGUGCACUUCUCUCUCAGUAACGCAUGCAUCGCGACCCGUUCGAUGUCGGUCUAAGCGCCGCUCGGGAGCCCGGCCGUCCCCUUCGGGGGUGCGACCGGACCGUGGCGGUCGCCGACCGGCCGUCGGACGGUAUAAAGUAUGAAACGCGCACGCGUUUAACGCGUCCGGCCCGACGCAAGUCAACGUCGUAUCCGACUUCCCGCCCGAGUGCGGAUGUUGGUGCGGCGCGUCUGGUGUCGCUGCCGUGCAGUCUCGGACUGUGCGCGUCUCCGUCUGCGAUGAUUCGGUUUCGGGCACUCGCAGGACCCGUCUUGAAACACGGACCAAGGAGUCUAGCAUGUAUGCGAGUCAUUGAGAUUACAAUAAACUGAAAGGCGUAACGAAAGUGAAGGCGUGCGCUUGUCGCGCGCUCAGGGAGGAUGGUGUCGCGAUCUAGGUCCGGCGCUCGCACUCCCGAGGCGUCUCGUUUCCAAUCCGUGAAUGCAGGCGCGCUC
rnacentral:rRNA from 1 species